rnacentral:rRNA from 1 species
AUUGAACGCUGGCGGCAGGCCUAACACAUGCAAGUCGAGCGGAUGAAGGGAGCUUGCUCCUGGAUUCAGCUGCGGACGGGUGAGUAAUGCCUAGGAAUCUGCCUGGUAGUUGGGGAUAACGUCCGGAAACGGGCGCUAAUACCGCAUACGUCCUGAGUGUGAAAGUGGGGGAUCUUCGGACCUCACGCUAUCAGAUGAGCCUUGGUCGGAUUAGCUAGUUGGUUGGGUAAAGGCCUACCAAGGCGACGAUCCGUAACUGGUCUGAGAGGAUGAUCAGUCACACUGGAACUGAGACACGGUCCAGACUCCUACGGGAGGCAGCAGUGGGGAAUAUUCGACAAUGGGCGAAAGCCUGAUCCAGCCAUGCCGCGUGUGUGAAGAAGGUCUUCGGAUUGUAAAGCACUGUAAGUAGGGAGGAAGGGCAGUAAGUUAAUACCUUGAUGUUUUGACGUUACCAACAGAAUAAGCACCGGCUAACUUCGUG